rnacentral:lncRNA from 1 species
AUUUGCUGUUUCGAUAGCUGUGAAAUCAUUAUUGGACUAUCAUUUCGAUAAGAUAAUUUGGCACCAGACUUCGUUUCAGAAAGAUAAUUCGAUGCCAGAUGAUUUGAUUUAGAGUAGUAGAUCUUGACUACGUGUCCGAACAUCAUUAGGUCGGAGCUGUUCAUGCGGAUAACAGUGAGAUGGCACGAUUAGGAGCAGGUG